rnacentral:rRNA from 1 species
GACGAACGCUGGCGGCGUGCUUAACACAUGCAAGUCGAACGAAGUGGCGAACGGGUGAGUAACGCGUAAUCAACCUGCCCUUCAGUGGGGGAUAACAGUUGGAAACGACUGCUAAUACCGCAUACUGAAGGAGGGGAUUGCGUCGGAUUCGCUAGGUGGAGGGGUAACGGCCCAACAAGGCGAUGAUCAGUAGCCGGUCUGAGAGGAUGGACGGGCAAAUCGGGACUGAGAAAAGGCCCAGACUUCUACGGGAGGGAGCAAGGGGGAAUUUUUCGCAAUGGAGGAAAGGCUGGCGGAGCAACGGCGCGGGAGGUAUGACGGCUUUCGGGUUGGAAAGCUAUGUUAAUCGGGACGCGGUACCGGAAUAGAAAGCCACGGCUAACUACGUGCCAGCAGCCGCGGUAAUAC